CCUACGGGAGGCAGCAGUGAGGAAUAUUGGUCAAUGGGCGCGAGCCUGAACCAGCCAAGUCGCGUGAGGGAAGACGGCCCUACGGGUUGUAAACCUCUUUUGCCGGGGAGCAACGGGAGCCACGUGUGGCGCCACGGAGAGUACCCGGAGCAAAAGCAUCGGCUAACUCCGUGCAAGCAGCCGCGGUCAGACGGAGGUGGCGAGCGUUAGCCGGUUUUAUUGGGUUUAAAGGGUGCGUAGGCGGAGUGUCAAGUCAGUGGUAAAAUUGAGGGGCUCAACCCCUUCCGGGAGUGGAAACUGGCGCUAUUGAGUGGAGGAGAAGUAGGCGGAAUGGGUGGUGUAGCGGU
rnacentral:rRNA from 1 species